UUGGGUUGUCUGCUCCGGUUGAUUGAGGGCCGCUGCUGUGCCGGGAGCCGCUUUCAAGGACCUGGGCUCCUUCCGGCUCCUCCCGCAGGAGCCUGAAGGUUGGGACCAGGAUGCCUGUCUCCAUCAACACUGUGGUCCUUCACUAACGAGCGAGCGUCAGGAGUGAACACACAGAUGGGAAGAUUCAGCCGCGUCAACAAAUAGCAAGGUCUGUGGAGAAGCCAGCUGCCAUGUCACAAGGACACUCAAGCGACCCUGGUGGAGAAGUCUACAUGGGGAACAAAGUCCUCCCCCACCAAUAACCAUGUGAGGAAAUCGUGACUCCGAGAGGUCAAUGCUCCGGGAUGUCCUAGCAAAGCCACCGGCAAAGGCAGAGG